GCCAGGUAUGGUGGCGUGUGCCUGUAAUCCCAGCUACUCAGGAGGCUGAGACAGGAGAAUUGCUUGAACCCAGGAGAUGGAGGCUGCAGUGAGCCAAGAUCAUGCCACUGCACCCUAGCCUGAGCGACAGAGCGAGAUUCUGUCUCAA
ensembl:misc_RNA Metazoa_SRP Metazoan signal recognition particle RNA